rnacentral:lncRNA from 1 species
UCAGGGAACACGGGCGUGGCAGAGGUUGACCUAUCAAAUGGAAGCUGUCUUUUCCCAGCUCUGAGAGGACCGCCUGACUCUUGAGGAGACUCGGAUGGUCUGAGCGUUAGAAAGCUCGUCCAAUCAAUCCCAACCCCGAGUUCUGGAGCAGCUAAGCCUCUAUCCCAGCUUCAUAAAUGUGUGGAUUUUUUUGUUUUUGUUUUUGUUUGUUUGUUUUGACAUAGUACAAAUGUGGAAUUAAAACUCCAGGACCAAUCCAAUUACACACACUACUGGCUUACAGCCUGAGCUGCCAUAGCAAAUAGGACCUUGGCAAAGACAGGCAACCUCAGGUGGCCUUGGCUGUGGUGAGUGUACCGCAGAAAGACAAGUAGCCGUACUUGUUCUGAGGCACCAGGCCGUAAUUCUCAUGGUUGAACCAUCGAUUCAUCUGUCGUUCCAUCAUCCACUUGACGACCGUGCGGGGCAGGACAUUCCGGAGCAUGGAGCUAAAUCUAGUGUGGAACACCAUGUCCCAAGGGUAGCCAUCUUCAGAGAUUCGGCUCAAUACCCAGGAACCAUGUCUGGUGCUGACAAACACCUGCUAUGUCCCGACAAGGGCUACCUGGUAACUCGCACUGAUAGAGGUCCAAAAUCACUGACCUGAGCACAUGCAGUGCCCUCGGAUGGCUCUUUACUUGGCUGAUGGCAAAGUACAAGAUAAGCAAAGGCAUCUCACCUGCGCGGCCCUCUUACUCAGUUCAGAGGCAAUGUCUGCGGCGGAGUUUCCUAUUCCAACCACUAGGAUGCGUUUCCCCUCAUACCCCACUGGGUGCUUGUAUUGGCGGCUAUGGAAAUACUGGCCUUGGAACCUCUCGAUACCUUCGGGAGGAAGAAGAGAUCAAAAGGAGAGUGUCUUGGGACAAAAAGAAGAGCCUGGAAUUCUAAUUGUCCUUCAACAGAAAAAUGCUUUAAUGCCAAA